rnacentral:rRNA from 1 species
GACGAACGCUGGCGGCGUGCUUAACACAUGCAAGUCGAACGAAGUGGCGAACGGGUGAGUAACGCGUAAUCAACCUGCCCUUCAGAGGGGGACAACAGUUGGAAACGACUGCUAAUACCGCAUAUUGAAGGAGGGGAUUGCGUCUGAUUAGCUAGUUGGAGGGGUAACGGCCCACCAAGGCGAUGUUCAGUAGCCGGUCUGAGAGGCUGGACGGCCACAUUGGGACUGAGACACGGCCCAGGCUCCUUCGGGAGGCAGCAGUGGGGAAUCUGCCGCAAUGGACGAAAGGCUAGCCGGGCAACGCCGCGGGAGGGAUGACGGCCUUCGGGUUUUAAAGCUCUGUUAAUCGGGGCGCGGUACCGAAAUAGAAAGCCACGGCUAACUACGUGCCAGCAGCCGCGGUAAUUC